UACGGAGGGUGCAAGCGUUAUCCGGAUUCACUGGGUUUAAAGGGUGCGUAGGUGGGCAGGUAAGUCAGUGGUGAAAUCCUGUAGCUUAACUACAGAACUGCCAUUGAUACUAUCUGUCUUGAAUACCCUGGAGGUGAGCGGAAUAUGUCAUGUAGCGGUGAAAUGCUUAGAUAUGACAUAGAACACCCAUUGCGAAGGCAGCUCACUACGGGAAUAUUGACGCUGAUGUGCGAAAGCGUGGGGAGCAAACAGG
rnacentral:rRNA from 1 species